AAUGAACGCUGGCGGCAUGCCUAACACAUGCAAGUCGAACGAAAACACGGGGAGCUUGCGCCCCUGAGGUUGGCGGGGGACGGAUGAGUAACACGUGGAUAGCAUACCUCUACGACUGGGAUAAUUACGGGGGACAAGAUCUACUAACGGAUAAUAUAUCGAACCGCAUGGUGCACUAGUGAGAGAAGCUUUUGCUGUCACUAAUAGACGAAUCCGCGCCGCAUUAGCUAGUUGGUAAGGUAACGGCUUACCAAGGCAACGAUGCGUAGCCGACCUGAGAGGGUGAUCGGCCACACUGGAACUGAGACACGGUCCAGACUCCUACGGGAGGCAGCAGUAGGGAAUCUUCCGCAAUGGGCGAAAGCUUGACGGAGCAACGCCGCGUGAGUGAUGAAGGUCUUCGGAUCGUAAAGCUCUGUUAUUAGGGAAGAACAAAUGUGUAAGUAACUAUGCACGUCUUGACGGUACCUAAUCAGAAAGCCACGGCUAACUACGUG
rnacentral:rRNA from 1 species